UUUAUUUUGCUUUGCUUUCUACUUUGAUGUAUUUUCGUCAAUUUUUAUUUUGUUUAGAAAUGUUUCUAUUGGAAGUUAAGUCAUUGGUAAUCCCAAUUCCAUUGAUUCACUUGUGUUGUUGUUUGAUUCUUAAUGAAUUUUCUUAUUUCUUGAAUUUUCCAAUUUAAUAGUAUUCUCUCUUUAAUGAUGAUAACCAAAAAGUUCAAAAAGGUAAGAGUUAAAAACCCAUUCCCUGUCAAAG
rnacentral:lncRNA from 1 species